rnacentral:lncRNA from 1 species
GGCAUAUUGAUACAAAGAAGGGGAAGAAAAGUUCGUUGCCAAAUUACACUGUGAGAGCAGUGGUAGGACACUGGAUUUGAGGGCUGGAGUCCUCGGUUCUAAACUCUAAUUACCUGUGUGACCUUGGGCAAGUCCCUCCUUAUCUUUGAGCCUCCAUUUUCUGUUCGGUAAAAUGAAUGGGUUGUAUUAUUUUACACGACCUCUAAGUUUCUUUCGAUGAUAAAACCUAGGACGCCAGGGAUGAAGAGAGAGGAGAUCGGGAGGGGGAGGGGAGAAGGCUGAGUUCCACUCCAUGAUCCCACCCUCCUUUCCCUGACAGGUAGAGUCUCUGGCUUCUCCAUCUCCAUGGCAACGAAGUGGCGACCAAGGAACUCCUACUACCUGGAGAGGCUCACGUUCUGACUCUGCGGCCCUCUGCUCCUCCUUCGCGCUCCCUAGUCCUGGGAAGACUCAAGGUUUCCUGGGACUUAAGGAGAUUCUAGCAAUGUCACCUGCAAAUAAUGACACUUGGGGGACCUCAGACUCUAUACCCCGUUUCUGCUCUUUGCUAUACAUCCUCCAUGACCCAAGCAAACAACUUCAACAGAGUGAAGUGCAGAGCUUUGCCCUAUUGUGCCCCACAAAAGAAGAGCUCCCAGGAAGAAACUGCCACAUGAAAGCAAGAUAGAGUCUAAGGAGAUCCCAGGACACUAGAUCACUGCUGGGGAGGUUGCUGUAAUGAAUAAAAUUCUCUGGAG